UGUUUCACUGGCCCCCCCCCCCAAAAAAAGAGUAGGGCUCCUCUCCUUAAAUCGUUCACUUGAGUGGGUGGAUGGGUGGAUGAGGUGAAAGGGGGUGUGAUGAGUAUCCCUUGGCACUUGUGAGACUAAGCACCUUAAACUGAACUAAUGCACUUUAUUAUUAAGUUUGAAUAAUUUUUUUUAUGAAUACAGAAUCGGUGUGUGUGUGUGUGUGUGUGUGUGUGUGUGUGUGUGUGUGUGUGUAUUGAAUCUACACGCAAUGCCGUAUGUAUACACGUGAAAAUCUGAACUGGAAGGGUGAGGUGUAUGGUUGGUGGGAUAGGCUCACUGGGAGGGGGAACUCAAAGUUAGAGGGGACCUUUAUUUUGAAACCUUAUCAGAAAAACCAAUCCUUUCUUUAAAGACAAACACUGUUGUUUUUUUGUUUUUUUAAGACAAUACAUUUAUAUAAAAAGUAAAGCUAUUACAAAAAAAAUGGAUACAAAGAAAACUUGAAGAUUUGCACUUGUGUUAAAAAAAAGAAAGAUAAAAAAACAAAAACAAAUGAGGUUAGGUAUAGAGAUUAAUAUUUUGUGUGUGUGUGUGUGAGGGCCGCUGUGUAUCAGAAACACACUAGUCUGCACAAUGUAUAUAUUUUUUCCAUUGCUUACCAAGAUGUAUGUCAUUUGGUUCAAAUUAGAUAAUUUUUUUUAUUUUUCUUUCAUGAGUAGAACGUCUGUCCUCUUGUACAGAGGGACUUUCUUUGUAUACUUGUGUGUGAGACCGAGAGAGAGAGGGCAAUCCCACAACACAUCCGUUCUCUCACCAGCUCGUCAUCCCCAGAUAGACGUCGUAGAAAUACAUACAUUUGGGGAGGAGGAUUAUGGCUUUAUGUUGUUGACCACCACUUGUUAAUUAAAAAAAAGAAUCUGGGUGAUUUUGGAGUAUGGGCUAUACCCCUCCCCUGCUGUCUUCUCUCAGCCACGGUCUCUGAGCCUCUGUGAGGUUUCAAACAGACAGUGGUAAGGAUCUUUAGUGUGUGUGUACGCCUGUUUCUUUACUAAUCAUAGGAAAGAAGUGAUCCCUACAGGUACUCAUCUCUGUGUGUGUAUAUGCAUGCACAUUUUUGCCUUAGAACUCUGAAAGGGUGAAUGGGAGGGAAUGUUCAGUGGCCAUUGAGACAUUAACUACUUUGAGUGUACUGUUAUGUUAAAGGAGAAUUUAACUAUUUUUAGGGACCUAAUCUUUAUUUUUGAUGUAAAUGGGAUGUUAUAGAAAGGGUCCAGACGACAUAUUUUUUUUUUUUGCAAUUUCAUUUGGUUUUGAGAAACUUACCCAGAAGCGAUCGACUUCCUGAGCCUCAUUCUGGAGUUCCAGGGCAUCCAAGAACAUGAGAGCUUUGCUGUUUGUAAAAGGGUGUUUUUGGAGCCCGUUUCAUGGUUUUUGGGUGCCCCGGAACUCCAGGCUCGAGAAGUCAAUCCCUGCCGGAGUACAUUUUUCAAAACCAAGUGAAAUUGCAAAAAGAAGGGUCUGUAAACCUUGUAUAACAUGCCAUUUACAUGCAAAAUAAAGAUGAGGUUCUUAAUGAAAUUCUCUUAAGCGCUCUGCACAGUCAAUGUGCAUGUCAGUCAUGUAUCCUAAUAUUUCUAGUAUAGCCUGGGGAUGAUGAUGAUUCUUCUUUGGAAGGUUAGUCCGGUUUAGCUUUCCUGGGACGUGAUCACGUUGCCUUGUUGGUUUUCUUUAACUUGCGUGUGAAAGGUGUUGAGUUUCAGAUUCUGCUCAAAACAAUUGGCAUCAAACUGUCUGUAUACAGGACGGUGCACAACAUGUUAGCAUAUUCGUGUUACUUAUUGUUGUUGCUAUUGAUAAUGAUGCUGGUGACGUUUCUUUUUUUGAAUGAAUAUAAAUGAACAUUUAUAUAUGAAUAUAUAUAUAUAUAUAUAUAUACACAAAGAAAAAAAAAGAUUUGGACAAAGAUUACGAUGAGCACUUGGGGCUGCUUUUUUUCUCUUUGUUUUUGUUUCAUUACCGCCAUGUGAAGUGCGUUUUAUUUCUUUCUUAAGAAAACAUUGAAUGUAUUCCCCUCCCCCCAAAAAAGACAAAACGUGAUGAUACCGGAUAUAAUUUCAACAACAAAAAAACUCAGAUUGAAGAGGUCUUUCCCCUUUUCUUUUUUACUCAGAGGAAGAACUCGGGAUGGCUACAGUUAAUCCUACUGCCUCUGCAAUCCUGUUCUUACAAAAACAAUAUUACUAUGAGAAAUAAAAUAGACUAUUUUCUAUUCCUUACUGGAUUUUUGGUUGUUUACAAAACGGAUUUCUGUGGGUGCAUUUUUUUUUUGUGUAGGAGUGGGGUUUUGCGAGUGUGCUUCUGCAAUAUGGACAUUCAUUGGCGUACAUUGUUUUUGGCGGGAGGAGGAGUGACAUCACAAUGUGACGGACAAGAUCCUUGCCCUUUGACCCUUUAGUGGGCAUGGCUCUUUGGAACUGACUGAUCCUCAAUGAGCGCAGGAGAAAGAAAUCAACAACAAAGUUAGUCUGUUUUUUUUUUMGMMMMGGGGGGAGUUCAUUAUUAGUGUGUCUUCUGGUUCCAUUUAGUUACUUUUUUGUUGUUGAACUGCCUAUCUUAACUAGACAAGGACUGAAAGGAGUAUAAAGCUUAAUCAAAAAGCAGAGCACAGCGGAGGUGUUUUUGGUACUUCGACCAUGCAUAAAGGAAACAACAAUAUCAUCGCUUUAAUAGGAGAAAAAAUGCCCUGGAGGGAAAUUGUGGAGUUUCAAUUUUUUUUAUCCACCAACCUAAAAGAGACAGAUGGACAAACCUUUGAGGGGUGGAUGAGAAUAAAGGAAAUUUGAAGAUUUUGUAAAACUGUACAUACAUGAUGUUGACCUCAAAUCUACCAUUGCAUUUGAUUGGACUGUGUCGGCAGCAUUUCUUACUUUUUGUCAUUCUACUUUUUUUUUAAGGGGGCUCAGGGUGUGCAGUGGGAGUGUAUUAACCCUGCAAUGAGGGGAAAUGAAAGGGUACCAGUACUGAUCCCUGGGGGGCACCCCUCAACACGCACACCCUGCCCUGACACUCACUAUGCACUUUCAAACUGUGAGGUUCCAUUACAUUUGGGACGGGAACACAGAAAUAUUAUAGUACAAAGGGAGGGUUGGAAAAUGUAACUUUUUUUUAGUUAAUACCGUCUCACUGAAAACAAGAGAUUCAAACCGAAACGAAAGACUUAGGAACACACCUUCCUCCUCCUGUACAUAACCAUAUUUUUGUAUUACCUUUUUUAGAAAAUCACUUGGACAAAACUACAAGGCUUGAUAUAAAAACAAACAGAUGAAAGAAAUACAUMACAGAUUUACAGAGUGAAUGUUCCUCAAGGAAACUUUUUGUUCCUCAUGUCGCUUUUUAUUUUAUUUUUAAUACUGAGGUAAAUUAARUACCUGGAAGUUCCCUUGACUUUGCCAGUGGCCCUGUCUAUCAUCAGGGAUGGCGAAAAAAAGGACUUAACAUGGAUGGAGCUGCGGACUGCAAGUACUCCCGAGACUGAUUGGUGAACGUCUGUCAUCAAAAUGGACUCCGCUGCAGAGCCCAGCCCAGGGUGUUUGAACAACAGUCACCAACCAAUGGAGAAGGCAGGGGAGAAACGACACAUACGGAUGGAUGUACCGGGAGACCUUCUGCCCAGAUGCCCCCCCGCCUUCUGCCACCUAGCCACUGCCUGGAGAUCAACUACAAGGUGACUGCAAGAAGAGAACCAUCAAAUAGYAUUCUCACUUCCUAGCUGCCCUCUGUUGGAAAGGAGAUGGAGCGUACUGUACCUUCAAACCUUUCUUUUCCUCUUCUCUCUGCCCCCUGGUGGGAGAAGUGCCAAGCAGAAACCACAGCAGCCGAAGAAGCAGAGGAACUUGAACAGUGGACUACACACAAACUUAGAGCUUUACUCAUGUGUACAGUACAUGCAGCUGGAUUCUGGUAAAA